GCCGCCGGCCACAAGGAGAGGCUGGGCUGGACAUCGAUGGCGAUAGCGUGUGGUCCUCCGCCAUUGCUCUCCUCUGUCCCGCCCUUCGAGGGAAGAACGCAAGGGAGCUCCUGCAGGGGCGAGAUGGGAACACAUGCCGUUGCCGGGCGCUGUCGCCGCCGCCGCGCAUGUGUUCUCAGGUCGCCCCCGCCGGGCCUUCCUUGCCGCCGCCGCCGCCGCCGCCUCCGGCGGCUGCUGCACGGACGGAGGCCCACGACGACGAUGAGCGAGCCGCCGCGGGUUCCGCUGCGGAUAGUGCACGACACGAUUAAGGAGUUUUCCCGCCCGUUUCCGUCCGUUGUGAUCGCUAGCCCGAGCAGCGACGCUCCUUGGGAUGCUUCCGGCAAGGCCUCGGCCCUACCCCUCCGGUUCCUCUUGGCUCUUCGAUCAUGAGGCGUGCGAAGGGUCGAAGGGAGCAGAGUGAAGCGGGGCGGCGAUGCUCCAGGCGGCGCAGUUCGGUGAGCUCUCCGCCAACGCCGCUACAGGUACAAUCGGACGGCAACUCGCGGAGCUAGGUGUAGAGGCCUGUAGUAGGGCGUUCAGAAGCACGCGCGCAAGUUGUUUGGGGAAAUAACGCUGCUGAUUGCGGCAGCAUGCUGAUGACGUCUAGCCUCAAAGUUGUUACUACAAGAAGAAGAUUCUACAGCAAAACUCUCCCAAUCUUCAGCAUUGAUCUACUGCUCUACUCCAAUUCCAUGCUGCCGUUUGUAUCCUUGUGUCACUGCUUCAAAAAAUUUCUCAAUCGAAUUGAUAACUAACUUGAUGGCUUUACUGCGCAGGUCACUGAAAUCCUAGCAAUCCGCAUGUCAUUGUCUUAGUACUUAUUUGGGUGACAUCGAACUAAUCUGCUCAUGGUUACAGCCAUAUUUAAAGUUACAGAUAUUUUUGCAUGCUUAGAUUAGGCUUUCAUGUGCCUAAGUUGCUCCUUCUAACUGGCUAGUUUUCAUUGUGAUUAAAUGAUUCAGAAGUAAAAGCUUAGAAAGUAGGUUGAUACAGAACUACGUACAGAUUGCAACUGUAUUACGAUUAAGAAAUCACAACCUGCUGAUUGCUAAUGUGAAUAGAUACCAUCGAGGGAAGCGAUGAGUAUAUAAAUCGAGAUGAUUUGAAUCGAUGCUGCUUUCAAAUGGAUAGGUGCUAAUUUGCUGCUAGAUCUCAGAUCUCACGGCAACUUGAACUUCAAUCACGAGUGCAUCAGAUAGCGCAUCGAUCAAUUGGUGCUCUCAACAAUGGUAACAAAGGUAACUCAUACCCAACACUGGGGCAUUAGGCGUGGCAACGCCACGCCAUCUUUCUAGUGAUUCAUGAAUGGUGUUUAGAAAACUGAAAGCAUACGCGGCGGCAAAAGAAAAAAAAAUCUUAAAGCAAGGAGGUACCGUGUUUCACGAUUUUGCAGCAGUAUGCAUUAUCCAACUGGAUAGUCAAACAAUGAGCUAUCGGUUUCGUGAGAAUUAGGAUGACCCAACUACAAAUUUCAAAUCAAGUAAUAAUAAGGUCCGACUCCUGUUGUAUAAUUUCCCUAGUUUUUGUGGAAUUGAAACAAAACAAAUUCCUGACUGCUAUGUAGACAGUACAAACUAUUUUUCCCUGCAAAGAAAUAUAUAGAAACUAUUUUCGUAACUUUAUAAUUGGCCUGAAAUUUCAAAGGGACCAAUUCCGGGAUCCCAGGCCGCUGGUCCUGUCUGAAUGAAAUCCUGAUCGAAUGCGUCACAAUUGUACAUUCCAUCAGGCCAGCGCACACAAUAAGACACGCUCGCUUUCAUUACAAUCGAGCAUUAUAUUAACAUAAAGUAACACCUAUCAUUGAUCAAUAAAUUAUACAGCAUAGCAAUCAGCUUCACAAGUUGACCCCAAAGAAGGCUUGAUUUUCCUCCACACUGACGUGUACUACAGCUAUACCAAAACUUCACAAAGAAGUUGUUGUGAAACACUUUAUAUUAGUGAUCAAUUAGAUAGAUAAUUAUGAUCCUUUCGUGCAGGGCCAACCUCUAAGGGGCCAACCUCUGAAGGGGCAUCUGGUCCUUUGGGUAUGUUCUUUCACCAUGUAUAAAUAUGUAACUAAACUGUUCGUUCAAUCCUCAGAUUCAUUCUCUCCGUCUCUCUUUCAACUAUUAACACGUUAUCAGUCACGCAUUGCUCUCGCUAAGUUUUUGGCGGGAACAAGAUCGAGCGAGGACGGCAAACAGGGAACAACGUUCUUGCGGCACUAUGAUGUCAGGACGUACAAGGAUGACGACGUCUACGGCCGGGCAUCGCGCUGGGCGCAGACAUCGUUUUCUUCACCCACGGUUACGGUGCUUCCUCUGCCUCGCUCUCUCUGCAUCUCCAUCCUCUGUAAGAUAGCAGGGGAAACGAAAUCAGAGGCAAAUCAGAGACAUCCAUGAAGAUUGAAAACAUUACAAGGGGGUGUAUCAAUAACAAGUUCAUCAGAACCAAGGUGCAACUUCCUUUAUCCUGAACUUGUGUAGAGGGAUCACAUUGGUUGACGAAAUCACAGGGCAAGCAAAGUAAGAUGGAAAUCAAUAUAGGUGAGAGAUUCAGUUUGUCGGCAUUAGAGAGUAUGGCUAAGCAAUGUAAAAAUUUGGAGGCUGGUAACUUGAAUAUACCCCACGGUGAGGCCCGUCAGGA